rnacentral:rRNA from 1 species
CUGACGAGCACGCCGCGUGAGUGAGAGGUUUUCGGAUCGUAAAGCUCUGUUGUAAGAGAAGAACGAGUGUGAGAGUGGAAAGUUCACACUGUGACGGUAUCUUACCAGAAAGGGACGGCUAACUACGUGCCAGCAGCCGCGGUAAUACGUAGGUCCCGAGCGUUGUCCGGAUUUAUUGGGCGUAAAGCGAGCGCAGGCGGUUAGAUAAGUCUGAAGUUAAAGGCUGUGGCUUAACCAUAGUAGGCUUUGGAAACUGUUUAACUUGAGUGCAAGAGGGGAGAGUGGAAUUCCAUGUGUAGCGGUGAAAUGCGUAGAUAUAUGGAGGAACACCGGUGGCGAAAGCGGCUCUCUGGCUUGUAACUGACGCUGAGGCUCGAAAGCGUGGGGAGCAAACA